UACGUAGGGGGCAAGCGUUAUCCGGAUUCACUGGGUUUAAAGGGUGCGUAGGUGGGCCUGUAAGUCAGACGUGAAAUCCCUCAGCUUAACUGGGGAACUGCGUCUGAUACUGGAUGGCUUGGAUUCGGGAGAGGAAUGCGGAAUUCCAGGUGUAGCGGUGAAAUGCGUAGAUAUCUGGAGGAACACCGGUGGCGAAGGCGGCAUUCUGGACCGACAUUGACGCUGAGGAGCGAAAGCCAGGGGAGCAAACGGG
rnacentral:rRNA from 1 species